AAUAAUUAGCGGGGAAAGAAGACCCUUUUGAGCUUGACUCUAAUCUGGCAGUGUAAGGAGACAUAAGAGGUGUAGAAUAAGUGGGAGAUAUUAGACUUCGGUUUGGUAUCGCCAAUGAAAUACCACUACUCUUAUUGUUUCCUUACUUACUUGAUUAAAUGGAACGUGUAUCAUUUCCUAGCCAUUAUACGGAUAUAUUUAUUAUAUCUUAUGGUAUUGGGUUUUGAUGGCUAGCAUCAUAAUCAAAAUAUUCUCACCAUUGUUCAAAUCUCCCGACGCCAAUUCUUCUGCCAGGUCUCUCAUUUUCAUUGCAGCUACUGCUUUCUCUUAGGAUCUAACUCCAUUUUCUCUCAUAAACCUCAUGAUCCGAUUUCCUAGCUAUAAAUGCCUUCCCAUGGCUUAUUACUCUGGUUCCACA
rnacentral:ncRNA from 1 species